rnacentral:misc_RNA from 1 species
AACUGCCGGCGCUUCAUCGGUUUGGUGUUUGUGCGCUCUUGUGCUUCCCUCGCUGUUCUGCUUGCGGAGCUGGCGGGGCGUGUAUUGGGGUGGUAAAGGACAGCUAGCUCCUUGAACGGACGCGGCCAUACUGAAGGGAGUCCGCGAUACGAAAUGACAAGAGGGCGCCCAUCCGAGCUUCCCCCACCUCCCACCUCGCCCACUUCUCCCCGAUGCUCCCUGCACGCACUGGGGCACUACGCUCGCUGGCGUAUCACUGCGUCGCUGCAACAUCAAACGGCGCCACCUAUGCCGCCACUCCCGAUGCACCAGUUGGACGGCACGGAAAGGCCCUGGGUCGCCUCCGCGGCUCCACUCCUGGCGUGCCGGCGAUAGCUCAAACGCGGCGUCAUCCGGCAUUACUGCUCGGCGGCAGCGCCGCGCGCCUUCAGUUCUCUUGCCGUGGCGAACCGCUCAUGAUGUCGUGUCGCCUCAAUUCCGUCAGGCAAACGUUCGCCGGCUCGACUGUCGACGAUCGAUUCAUCGCCUACCUUCGCUCGUUACUUCGGUCGACUGGACCGAUACCCAUCUCAAAGCUGGCAAGUAUGAUAGGUGAUGAGCACCUCGAGCGUCUCGGCAAUGUAGGCGGUGGGCUCGCUCAGUUUAUCCGGUGGCACCCUGAGGCGUUCAUCGAGGUGCAGCUACCCGGUCGUGUGCACGUGGCCAUGUCGAAUGACGCGGCGUUGCCGUUCCGUUCGAACGAGGACAAGACGCUCGGGCUCCGCGUCAUUGGGCUGCUGACCAUCGCGCAGCACAUGGCAGGCACCCAGAUGGCCACCUCGCUUGGCUUCUCAUCGGCGACGCCGACAGUGACAGAACUCUGCAAGGCACUGCGGCAUUGGUCACUUGUCUCCCCCAUACAGCUGAAGAGGUUCUUUCACCAGUAUGAGGAGGUGUUCUGGUAUCAUCCAAUGUCGCUGUACGUGCGGCUGCGUUGGGCGAAGCCCUGCACGACGCCGGCGCCACCAGCGCGGUGCUUGUCCCCCGACCACGCUCUGGCACGUGCGCAGCACAGCAGACUUCAGCUGUGGCUCAGCGCGGUACUGCCAUCGCAGUACCACGUGCCACUAUCGUACCUGAUGGAUGCAGCGCUCAUGGCAAACAUGUCGGCGACCUUGUUCGGUUGCGAAGCCCCAUCGCUGGAGGACGUGCGGCACGCUUUCCAGCAGUUGCCACCGCAGUUCGUCGACGUGCGCGCGUUCGGCACCUCACCGAUGGCCAUCUUUGUCCGUCUUCUGCGGCCAGAGCCGCUGCUGCUGCAGGCUGGGGUGCGCUCGUACACGUCAGAUGCACCGCCACCGGAGAGCGCAGCCAGUCACCACGACCCCACACGACUGGGCCGCAAGCUCACCGAGGCCCUGCAGAAAGGGGCAGCAGAGGAUCGCCUGAAGCAUUUAGGGCUGGUGAAGGGCCUUCAUAUGGUGCACUUGCGCAACUGCGUGCCGGCGGACCUCGUGCGCGAAAUCGAGGUGUUCUACGGUCUCGUCGAGGGGGGCGAUCUCCGCGUUAGCGUCCUCCUCCUCGACCGACUACGACACUUGUGGGAGGUGCAGCUGGACUCCUCGCGAGUGCGGCCGUGGGCCUUCUUGCCGGCGUCGGAGCAGCCCUCCUCGUUGACGCUGGAGACAUCGCCGGUACCGCGAGUGAUGGUGCACUUGCAGCGCAUUUUGGCGGACAAUGGCCCUCAGCUUCCCGCCGACCUCUACGCAGCGCUUCCGGAAGACUUGCAAGAAGCGCUGCUGCGCACCUAUGGACCGGUGGAAGAGGCGGACGCGACGCCGGAUACGACGACUGGCGCAGACGCCGUUUCCUCCUUUGUCAAAACACACUCGCUCUUCUUUAUGAGGCAGGGCGAUCACAUCUACACGCCUCGCCUCGCCGCCGAGGAGCUGCAACAACCGGCGAGGGCCGAUGCGACUCUUUCGGGGGCUAGGGGAGGUGAGGAGGGCGCAUACGUUGGGAGGCCGCUCGGCCCAACAUCGACUCCUCGGGGGCCAGCGAAGCCGGAGGUAGAGAUGUCUGAGAUUGAGAUGGCACAGUUCCUUCACGACGCCAUCCCCGUCGGGCAGCCGGUAGCGGUGGACGCACUGCGCUCUGCCCUAGUCAGAGAGCAGCGGAGGCGCCGCUUGUCAGGUGAAAAGGCGCGCCGCUUCGUCCGCCGCGAGUUCUUCGAGAGGCAUAAACGGCUCUUCAAGCUGUACGAGUUCUUUGCCUACGACAAGCUGAUUGUUGGCCGUGCAGAGGAUCCCUCACCACCGCCGCACGUGCUGCAGCCACGGAUGACGAAUAUUGGGCAAGUAAUCAAGUUUAUUGCCCUCUUGUCAUCGCAGUCGGCCACCGACGGCGCGCUCACGCGUGCACUACCGCGCGAUGGUCGCAUGCUACUCAAAGCUGUUGGGAGUGCCACCGAUCUCGCGGAGCAGCUUCCGAUGUGGUUCCUCGCGCAGCGAGACAAGCACAACUUUUCCUCCUCUCUUAUUCGCUACAUAGGGCCUCUGGCGGAGUCGGAGAAGCCAUCGACUUGGGCGCUGAAGCCUCCCCCAUCAGGUGUGCUGACGCGCAAGGUGCCCAAUGACCCAUUCGCCGAUAUUGGUUCGGAGAACCUGGAUGGAAAGCCUGCUGGGUGGAAUGAUGAGUGGAACGAGGAUGAGGUCGACGGAGACGCGAAGCAGGCGGCAAGCGACUCACCACUGACAUGAGCCUUGACGCAAUCCUACAAGACCGAAUGUCAUUAAUGGGUGUGACAAGGGCAUGCACUCCUUUGAUGCUGCCACGCGAACCCUCUUGGUGCUGCCGGCCCCGCCGUCCUCCCACUUUAGCACCACAUCCUCCAGCGUCUCUCUACUUGGCGCUGGAUGGCAGCAUGUGUCGUUUGCGCUGACUAACGAGAGGAGCAGCCAAGAAAGGAGGCGGAAGGAGAGAAGGGGAGAAAGAAGGAGGGGUGUAAGGCGAGGCGGCUGUCGGGGCGUGAGAGAGCACUGGAGUCAUUUAGUACGACUUGCCGUGAUGAUGGCAGGUGUGGGAGUGUGUCUGUCUGUGUGUCUCUGUGUGUGUGUGUGUCUGCCCCACCCCCCGCAACCUGCGGGUGACGAUGGCGUGAGGAGGGGAGAUGGAAAAGGGCUCCAUGUAUGUGAUGGUAUAUGUGUUUGGGCGACUUCUCAUCCGCUACUCCACCCUUCCCCUCAUCUCAAGUGCCUCUCCUUCACUGCCGACCGCACGUUUCCUCUUUUUGUACGCCGUUGUGGUUGUGCUGAGGUGCGCUCACAUGUGGAGAGGCGUACUUCGUGCUUUGUUCCGUUUCGUGUUUUCCUCGGGGCCCGCCUCGUCCCCCUCCCACCCUGCGCGGGGUGUGCGUUUAUCCCAGCAACAUGGGGGUGUUAUCGCUCUAUAUGCGCGUAUGUGUGUGGUCAUCUGCAGGUGUCACUAAUGUGGCGGCUCUCACCUUGGAGCACGUGCUUUUCAUACAGGAGUGUGUGGUGGCUUUCCUUUCUCUGUCCCGUUCCCGACGGCUACAGCGCGCUCAUCACAUCGCCGCACUCCGCCAGCCCCCCUCCCCUCCCCUCCCCUCCCUGUCUUUCUGUCACUUCGCUGCAGAGGCCGCUGGAGGAAGAGUAGAAUCCAUUGGAAGCGCGCGCACACGCACGCACGCAACGAGCAACAUCGACAAGGUUUUCAUUUUAUUUCCCAACUGGCGACCGCCCUACGUUACGCUAAAGGGCCUGGACGGGCAGAGGACGCAGAGGGACGUGCGUGCCGGCUUUCGCGUUCUACUUUCCUGAAGAAAUCUGCGGCUCGAUGGAUUGCAGGUAACGAUAAAAACGGUACGUGCGCGUGUAAAUCGGUGCGCCGAGUGUGUGCGUUCCUUCUCCCAACCGUCUGACUGCUCUCUCUCUUGCGGCUUUUGCACGAACC